CGAAGGUGAUUCGUAAGGAUUGCUGGAGGUAUCAGAAGUGCGAAUGCUGACAUAAGUAACGAUAAAGCGGGUGAAAAGCCCGCUCGCCGGAAGACCAAGGGUUCCUGUCCAACGUUAAUCGGGGCAGGGUGAGUCGACCCCUAAGGCGAGGCCGAAAGGCGUAGUCGAUGGGAAACAGGUUAAUAUUCCUGUACUUGGUGUUACUGCGAAGGGGGGACGGAGAAGGCUAUGUUAGCCGGGCGACGGUUGUCCCGGUUUAAGCAUGUAGGCUGGUUGUCCAGGCAAAUCCGGAUAAUCAAGGCUGAGGUGUGAUGACGAGGCACUACGGUGCUGAAGUAACAAAUGCCCUGCUUCCAGGAAAAGCCUCUAAGCAUCAGGUAACAUCAAAUCGUACCCCAAACCGACACAGGUGGUCAGGUAGAGAAUACCAAGGCGCUUGAGAGAACUCGGGUGAAGGAACUAGGCAAAAUGGUGCCGUAACUUCGGGAGAAGGCACGCUGGUGUGUAGGUGAAGUCCCUGCGGAUGGAGCUGAGACCAGUCGAAGAUACCAGCUGGCUGCAACUGUUUAUUAAAAACACAGCACUGUGCAAACACGAAAGUGGACGUAUACGGUGUGACGCCUGCCCGGUGCCGGAAGGUUAAUUGAUGGGGUUAUCCGUAAGGAGAAGCUCUUGAUCGAAGCCCCGGUAAACGGCGGCCGUAACUAUAACGGUCCUAAGGUAGCGAAAUUCCUUGUCGGGUAAGUUCCGACCUGCACGAAUGGCGUAAUGAUGGCCAGGCUGUCUCCACCCGAGACUCAGUGAAAUUGAACUCGCUGUGAAGAUGCAGUGUACCCGCGGCAAGACGGAAAGACCCCGUGAACCUUUACUAUAGCUUGACACUGAACAUUGAGCCUUGAUGUGUAGGAUAGGUGGGAGGCUUUGAAGUGUGGACGCCAGUCUGCAUGGAGCCGACCUUGAAAUACCACCCUUUAAUGUUUGAUGUUCUAACGUUGGCCCCUGACCGGGGUUGCGGACAGUGUCUGGUGGGUAGUUUGACUGGGGCGGUCUCCUCCUAAAGAGUAACGGAGGAGCACGAAGGUUGGCUAAUCCUGGUCGGACAUCAGGAGGUUAGUGCAAUGGCAUAAGCCAGCUUGACUGCGAGCGUGACGGCGCGAGCAGGUGCGAAAGCAGGUCAUAGUGAUCCGGUGGUUCUGAAUGGAAGGGCCAUCGCUCAACGGAUAAAAGGUACUCCGGGGAUAACAGGCUGAUACCGCCCAAGAGUUCAUAUCGACGGCGGUGUUUGGCACCUCGAUGUCGGCUCAUCACAUCCUGGGGCUGAAGUAGGUCCCAAGGGUAUGGCUGUUCGCCAUUUAAAGUGGUACGCGAGCUGGGUUUAGAACGUCGUGAGACAGUUCGGUCCCUAUCUGCCGUGGGCGCUGGAGAACUGAGGGGGGCUGCUCCUAGUACGAGAGGACCGGAGUGGACGCAUCACUGGUGUUCGGGUUGUCAUGCCAAUGGCACUGCCCGGUAGCUAAAUGCGGAAGAGAUAAGUGCUGAAAGCAUCUAAGCACGAAACUUGCCCCGAGAUGAGUUCU
rnacentral:rRNA from 1 species